CCUACGGGGGGCUGCAGUGGGGAAUAUUGGACAAUGGGGGCAACCCUGAUCCAGCCAUGCCGCGUGUGUGAAGAAGGCCCUCGGGUUGUAAAGCACUUUCAGUGAGGAAGAACGCCUGGUGGUUAAUACCCAUCAGGAAAGACAUCACUCACAGAAGAAGCACCGGCUAACUCCGUGCCAGCAGCCGCGGUAAUACGGAGGGUGCGAGCGUUAAUCGGAAUUACUGGGCGUAAAGCGCGCGUAGGUGGCUUGAUAAGCCGGUUGUGAAAGCCCCGGGCUCAACCUGGGAACGGCAUCCGGAACUGUCAAGCUAGAGUGCAGGAGAGGAAGGUAGAAUUCCCGGUGUAGCGGUGAAAUGCGUAGAGAUCGGGAGGAAUACCAGUGGCGAAGGCGGCCUUCUGGACUGACACUGACACUGAGGUGCGAAAGCGUGGGUAGCAAACAGGAGUAGAUACCCGGGUAGUC
rnacentral:rRNA from 1 species